rnacentral:sRNA from 1 species
AGAAGGAACUAAGAUUGUGAAGCCAACGCAGGGGUGGAUCACCUGAGGUCAGGAGUCCUAAGACCAGCCUGGCCAACAUGAGGCUGAUAGUAUGCCUGGAGGAGUCCCUGUACAUCCACAACAUUCGGGACAUGAAGGUGCUGCAUACGAUCAGGGAGACGCCUCCAAACCCUGCAGGCCUGUGUGCGCUGUCAAUCAACAACGACAACUGCUACUUGGCGUACCCCGGGAGCGCGACCAUCGGAGAGGUGCAGGUCUUCGAUACCAUUAAUUUGAGAGCUGCAAACAUGAUUCCGGCUCACGACAGUCCUUUAGCGGCACUGGCCUUUGACGCAAGUGGAACUAAACUUGCCACGGCUUCGGAGAAGGGGACCGUGAUUAGGGUAUUUUCCAUUCCAGAAGGACAAAAACUCUUUGAGUUUCGGAGAGGAGUAAAGAGGUGUGUGAGCAUCUGCUCCCUGGCCUUCAGCA